CUGGACCACUGUGCACUGUGGCAGCACAGCAAUUUACCUGCAUAAAUCGGACCGCACUAAAAUUCAGUUCAGUUCAGAUAGGAGCGUGGUACGAUGCAGAGGUGAAUCGAUAACAGAGGCGUCCCUAAACGUUUCAAUGGCCAGUGCAGGAAAGAUAAGGCAAAUGGUGUCGAUGAACCUUCAGGAGGGAGUGUAUGGAGUGUGUGAUUCUCACAAGCAGCGGUUUUGGGCACAUUAAAAAUGCUAAAAUGAAAAUAGACAAGCUGAGUACAGUACUUUCGGAUGAAACUGGCACUCAUCAUUUUCACUCUACAUUGUUCUAACAUAACAAAUCAGUUAGUACUGGGGGAUCUCCC